rnacentral:rRNA from 1 species
GAUGAACGCUAGCUACAGGCUUAACACAUGCAAGUCGAGGGGCAGCAUUAGGUAGCAAUACUGAGAUGGCGACCGGCGCACGGGUGCGUAACGCGUAUCCAACCUUCCCGUUACUCUCGGAUAGCCUUCCGAAAGGGAGAUUAAUACGAGAUGGUGUUUGAAUUCCGCAUGUUAUCCAAACUAAAGAUUCAUCGGUAACGGAUGGGGAUGCGUGACAUUAGGUAGAUGGCGGGGUAACGGCCCACCAUGCCCACGAUGUCUAGGGGUUCUGAGAGGAACGGUCCCCCACACUGGAACUGAGACACGGUCCAG